GACGAACGCUGGCGGCGUGCCUAACACAUGCAAGUCGAACGGAAAGGCCCUGCUUUUGUGGGGUGCUCGAGUGGCGAACGAGUGAGUAACACGUGAGUAACCUGCCCUUGACUUUGGGAUAACUUCAGGAAACUGGGGCUAAUACCGGAUAGGAGCUCCUGCUGCAUGGUGGGGGUUGGAAAGUUUCGGCGGUUGGGGAUGGACUCGCGGCUUAUCAGCUUGUUGGUGGGGUAGUGGCUUACCAAGGCUUUGACGGGUAGCCGGCCUGAGAGGGUGACCGGCCACAUUGGGACUGAGAUACGGCCCAGACUCCUACGGGAGGCAGCAGUGGGGAAUAUUGCACAAUGGGCGGAAGCCUGAUGCAGCAACGCCGCGUGCGGGAUGACGGCCUUCGGGUUGUAAACCGCUUUCGCCUGUGACGAAGCGUGAGUGACGGUAAUGGGUAAAGAAGCACCGGCUAACUACGUG
rnacentral:rRNA from 1 species